UGUCUCUCUGCAGCCUCAGUCUCCUGGGCUCAAGUGAUCCUUUCACUUCAGCCUCUUGAAUAGCUGGGACCACAGGUGCACACCACCACACCUGGCUAAAUUUUUAUCUAUUUCAUAGAGAUGUGGCUUUGCCAUAUUCCCCUGUCUGGUCUCGAACUCCCUUACUCAAGUGAUCUGCCCGUUUCGGCCUCCCAAACUGCUGGGUUACAGGUGUGAGCCACUGUGCCCAGCCCUAUAUUCUUUCUUCCCUCCCUGCCUUCCUUCCUUCUUCUUUCUUUACGUUCGGACUCACUCUGUUACCCAGGCUGGUGUGCAGUGGUGUGGGAACAGCUUGAAACAAUCCUCCCAACUCAGCCUCUUGUGCAGCUAGUCUCUCCUUUCCUGGGGAAAUUCCCUGAGUUGUUUAAUUGGUUUAAAAACUUUCUGGGCUAUAAGGAGUCUGUACAUCUGGAAACUUUUCCAAAGGAGCGAGCCACAGAGGGCAUUGCCAUGGGGAUAGAUUACGCCUCUUGUAAACGAUUGGGCUCCAGCUAUCGAGCCCUACCAAAGAGUUACCAGCAGCCCAAGUGUACCGGACGGUCUCCUCUC